GACCUGAUAGCAUAAUUGGAUAGUGCAACUGUUAAAUUUGUUAUAGUUGCAUCAGUAUGUAAGCAGGAGAUUCCCGUUCGAUCCGGGGUCAGGUCA